rnacentral:rRNA from 1 species
UGGUGGAGUGAUUUGUCUGGUUAAUUCCGUUAACGAACGAGACCUUAACCGGCUAAAUAGUCACACGAUUCUCGAAUCGUGACUGACUUCUUAGAGGGACUGUUGGUGUUUAACCAAAGUCAGGAAGGCAAUAACA